GAUGAGCGCUGGCGGCGUGCCUAAUACAUGCAAGUCGAGCGAACAGAUGAGGAGCUUGCUCCUCUGACGUUAGCGGCGGACGGGUGAGUAACACGUGGAUAACCUACCUAUAAGACUGGGAUAACUUCGGGAAACCGGAGCUAAUACCGGAUAAUAUAUUGAACCGCAUGGUUCAAUAGUGAAAGACGGUUUUGCUGUCACUUAUAGAUGGAUCCGCGCCGCAUUAGCUAGUUGGUAAGGUAACGGCUUACCAAGGCAACGAUGCGUAGCCGACCUGAGAGGGUGAUCCGCCACUCUGGGAGUGAGACACGGUCCAGACUCCUACAGGAGGCAGCAGUAGGGAAUCUUCCGAAAUGGGCGAAAGCCUGACGGAGCGACGCCGCGUGAAUGAUGAAGGUCUUCGGAUCGUAAAACUCUGUUAUUAGGGAAGAACAAAUGUGUAAGUAACUAUGCACGUCUUGACGGUACCUAAUCAGAAAGCCACGGCUAACUACGUG
rnacentral:rRNA from 1 species